ensembl:lncRNA
GUCUUAAUGAUGCUAUGAUUCUGUGAUUCUCCUUCAGGACUGUGUGUGCAAAGAGAGGUUUACUUGCUCCAUCAGGAAAGCAACAAAGCGCAUUUCUGACCUGUAUGCCCAUGUCUGAACUGAGAGCCAAACUCUUGACCAUUUGGCUCUACUGGGGAGAAACAUUUCCAUAAACACCCCCAGAAACAGAACAACCUCAACUUGUCAAAUAACAGCUGUGGUACCCAACACAUGGAUAACUACUGUGUUAAAUCCAGAUAUAACACAACGAGGAUCUGGGGAAAUUAAGGAUUUCUAGUAGUAGAUUUCUUUAAUUCUUGGGAGACGCAGCAUUUGCAGCCUUCUGCUCCCAGCAUCUGUGAAACAGACCAAGGAACAGAGCAGAACAAGUGUUGGCCAUAUCUCUGAGAUUAAAGACCAUUGUAUGGGAGUUGCUAAGCCACGGCCUGAAGUGGUGAUUGAGCACCUGGUGAAGGGAUGCAGCCAGCCCUGGGAGCACAGGUGGAAGCAAUUCAACCUCGUGACUGGAAGGGGUGGACCCUGUCUCCAUCCCCUCCUAACCUCAUUUAAGGGCUGGCAGCCACAAGGAAAGGGUGCUUCUGUGGAGAUCCCUCCUUUUGGAGUGUUUAGUGAGCCCUGAUCAUUGGAUGGGUGACCACAAGUCUUCUGCAAGUGCUGAAAAGCAGUUUGCUGCCCCUGCAUCACCAGCUGUGCAGACACGUUUAGUACCUGUGCUCGACGGACGGUGAGCAGCCACCUUGUGCUGAGUGGUACCUGGGGGGGAGACUGAGCAUGCAGCCUCUGCUAGGUGCCAUGCAUGCCUUAUUCUGAUGUAUACAAAGGCUGAUGGGAUCCGGCCCAAAGGUGUAGGUGGGAGAAUCAUUACAAGAUGAUGUGCUGGGCUCUGCUUUAGAAGCUGGGAUUUAUGUUGGAGCUCUUCCUUCUGACCUGGAGCUGCCUUGCAAGCUGCCAUUGCUCUGACUUUCUCAAUGGAACCUCAUGGGUGGUGAAGUGAGUUGAGAAAAUCCAAACCAAAACUGCUUAAAGAUGCCUCUUCUGCCCUGCCUCGUGUUGGAAGAACUCCUCAUAUCUGUGCCUGCCUCUUCUCCAUGGUGGUUUUAACACCAGGACUGCCACACCACUCUGGCUGAGGCAACAAGGAAGGCCACAACCUAACUGUAUUUUAAAUAACCACGUAAUGCUUCAGUAUCUCAACUACUUCUUGUGAAGCAGCUUCUAUCAUAUCUGAAAGAUGAGUUAUAAUUUGGAGAUUGGCCUUGGUGAUCUCCAGAGGUCCCUUUCAACCCUUAUGGUUCUGUGGUUAUCAGUCGUGGUGAUACGCUGAUUCAAGCUGUACAGGAGAAACCAACAACUCAACUCUGUAUUGUGAUGAGACUCUCAGUGCUGUAUGGGCAGAAUGGGGAAGCAUUCAAGCGCGUUUCCUUUCUCAGCACGUGGGAUACAGGAGGGCAGCAAAGCGUCAGCUGUGAUGAACCACUCAUGUAUCCUUCUUGUAUCUGCAGGUAUUUUGAAUACUUAAGUUUGAGAAGACGUGGGAACUGACGACUUCUGUCCUUCGAGGAGAUGGCAUGAAUUACUGCAAUUGGAAAAUAAUUAAGAAGCAAUUACAGAAACAAACAGAAAUCCUGUGCGUACAGCCAGGCCAUUAAAAUAUGUUCUCUAAGAAAUUACCACAGCCACGCUGGAAAGAAAAGCGACAUUUAAAUAAAGUUAUGGUUAUAACAAACUAAAAAGGAAGAAAAAACCAAAGCAAUUCGUGCUGGAAAGAGUAAGUACUCAUCUGCCCCCCCACACACUGUCAAUCUAUGCUGGUUUCUCUUUCCAUAAUUUUCUUAUGCAGAGUAAUAGUUGUACAUUUUGCACUCCUUUUUCUUACUUUGUUUUUCAGCAAGCAUUGGCUGCUAUGCGACUGUGCUGUAAACGUGAGUGUGUGCAAGUGGGACACGAGGGGGGAACAGCUUCAUGCCUCCCUUCUCCAGCAAGCAGGUAACUGUGCAUUGAAGUACGCCGGUAUUCUGCUGUUGUGCUGGGAGUGCCUCCUGCUCCACGUAUGGCAGAAUGAGACCCAUUGCUCACCACCCCACACGGCAUAUCGCUGCAUCGAUCAAACGCUGCUGCAAUAAAAGUCAGGCCCUAUCCAUGUGCCAAUAGGGAGGGAUGUUUCUGAUUAUAAAUUCUCUAUGCAGAGUGCUGGCUAGCUCAUUGAAAAGGCAGAAAUCAAUGACAUUAGCACUCAUAAACCACAUGCAUUGUGACUGCUUCUCAGAACAGCCCUAAUUGGCAUAUGUCUGUCUUAUUGGCCUGCCUCAUAACAAUGCCCCAAAUGAUUCAUGAGACCAAAUAAGAAACAGGUGCAACCAAAACAGCACUCUGUGCCAAAAAUUCAUCUCUUAUGUAAGGAGAGGGGCCAAGGGCAUGGCUCAAACUGCUCCUUAUCGACUCCAGGAUGUGACUUCAACUCCCUGAAAGAAGCAUGUAGUGAAGUGGGGGUUGGACUCUGCCCCAGCAAUAAGAUGAGAGGGGAAUGGCCUCAGACUGUACAGGGAGGGUCAGGUUGGCUGUCAGAGCAAUGUCUGCUCCAGAGAGCAGCCAGGCGCUGGCACAGCUGCCCAGGGGUGGGCAGUCCCUGUCCAUGGAGGUGUUCAGAGCUGCGGGGAUGUGGCACUGAGGGGGGGCCAGUGGGCACAGGUAGGGUGGGGGUCUCAGACAGCUUUUCCAGCCAGAAUGGUUCUGUGAUUCUAAUAAUGAGCUAUACGAGUCAUCCCAAGGGUGAACCUGCUAUCUAGUCACUGAAAUCUAUUGAGUGGGUAUUUGGCUUGCUUUUUUUAGGGUUAAUUAAACCUGCAUGGGGUUGGAUUGAGGGGAAAAAAAGGAAAUCAAGCUGAUUACAGACUUUGUUUCUUAGUAGGAUAACUGAAACACUGGUCUAACUGUUAUUUAUUAUACAAAACGGGCAUCUUGUGAUUUGCUUGAAAUGAAAAAUGGACUUGAAUGGCAUGGCCAUUGGUCAUGGGCCAUGAAGAGGGGAUGAUGGCACUGCGCGGUGAGCCACCACAGCCCUGCACCAUUCCAGCAAGUCACAUAUAAAAGCUUAAACGCUUGCCCCCCACUCUUUGCCAUGUGGUCCAUUAAGUUAGGUGCAGGCAAAGGGCAUAUUUGUCAAAUGCACAUUGUGCUGACUCAGCAUUCUGGUUAUCUGUUGGGCAUUCAAUUUCACUCUGGUGCAAAGCCUUUUUAGUUUCCCUUGGCGAAUAAAUUACAAAUGCUAAUUUCUGCUCAGUUGAAGAGAAGAUUAAGGCAGUGUAACAGACAGGCAUGCCAAAAUAUUUAUUGAAUAAGUUGCAAAAGCGAAACAAAAAGGCUGUGUAUUUCAAACUGAGUGCUGAGCAGGGCUCUAAGCUGAAUUUAAGAGCAGCUCCUUUAUUCACCCAGAAUCCAAUUUAGUGCGAGUAUAUUAUAUCCAGCAUCUGUAUGCUGAAAUCCACUGCUGAAUAAGCUUCUAAAAUUCUAUUUUCUGCAGUUUCAGUGCAUACUUGCACAUAUGUUUCUUAGUAAAUCACAGUAAUGACCCUAAUUCCAUGAGGAGGACCUAAAGCAAAUGCUGCCCCUGGGCUGCUACUCACCCAUCCACAACUGCUCUACGAGGUUAGCACUUGUUUUCUUCUCUAUUUCCAUCCAGACUGCUGUAACUGAAUGGGGAGAACAAUCUGAGAACUGUUAGAGAAGUAUUUGGGAUGUAACAGCUGCAUUAAUACCUAUUUGGGGUCACAGUUGGAGAAACGUGCGGUUCUUUCAGUUCACACAGACGUGGUGGGAUUUCUGUUAGGCAGCCACAGAGAAUUAAAAGCUCACUUUGAAAAGCCCUGGAUGGGGCUGAGUGACAAAUUGAGCUGCUUGUAGAGUCACCUGUAUUUUUAUAUGCGCACAGGAAAGGCAGAUUUUGUUCUGUUUCUGACAAGCAGUUACUGUAGCACCCUUUCAGUUUUGCAGGCAUUAGAGACUUCAGUUUGCUGCACAAAAUAAUGAGUUACGCUGUGUCUGCAUUAAACAACAGAGAUACAUGUCAGCAUUUCCAUGUCAUCCUUCUGUCACAGUAACUGAAUGACAGUACAACAUAUGGGCUCAUUAGGUAACAUCCAACAGGUUAAUAGCCAUCGAUGUGUUGGAUUUCAGUUAUGCGUGUGUAAGUGUUUUUAGAUAUGCCAGCAAAUGAAGCCGGAGGGAAGAAAAUUUCACAAAAGCCAAAAUAAUUUGAGAGAGCAUUUGCAAAAAUGAAGUGCUGAAUUUAACCAUUUCAGUGCAUGUUGAGCUGCAAGCAGUAGGAACAGCCUCAUGCAGUUCUCAUUUUCAAUACGAUCUGCUCAAAGAAGUUCAAGUGGAUAAUAAAUACACUUCAACAAAUAAAGACCUGUCUGAAGAGAGCUUCUGGGACUGUGGGAAUAAAACCCUGAGGGUAACUUCAGUCUGAUCACUGCUAAAAUCCAGACUGUAACUUUGAGGUGAUAAACAAAUGAGACUUAAGGAGCCACAGGCCUUGGGAUUAAGAGUCAGAAUAAGAACAUGAGGUACAUUUACUUCAUUGUACAAUGUAAAUAUCCCAUUUAAAAAUUAACGUUGAUGCACUGACAAUGCAUUGCUAGAUAGGAGAACACAUGCAGCCAUUGUUCUCCCCGCCUCUUUUAUUUUACUUAUACUAACCCCUCGGAGCAGCCGGCUGCUCAGCCGUGACAGCGAUGCUCACAACCUCCUUCCUUCCCAGAAGUCUCCACAGUCUCCAGGAUCUUGCUCCAGUGACAUCCACUGCCAAUGUUUCUCCACUUAGAAUACGUCCUGGCAUCCUUAUGAUUAUCUUCUGCUGUGCUCUGUUCAGUGGAUAAACUGGAGGCAGUUACUGACAUAUAAAACUCUCAGUGGUCAGAGCCACCAAAGCUCUGUAGGUGGAUGUGAGUCUGUGAGACUGGCUUUGUAAACUUGGGUUGUGUGUAAAGGGGAGAUGUUUCUUCAGUGCCUUGCAACACCAAUGAUUGCUAAAACCAACAUGAAGCCCGAACUGCCCCAUGCAGCGUUUGCUCUCAGCCCCUGGAAUUAGUCUUGAAUUCUCAUGAUAGAAGGAUGUGCUCAUAAUUCAGAAAGUAAACAUACACAGCUACCUCUGUGCCUUUAUGGGGAGGGUGACAGAGCACUGGAACAGGUGCCCCAGGGAGGUGGUGGAGUCUCUUUGUAUGGAGAUAUUCAAGACCUGUCUGGACACCUACAUGUAUGACCUAUUAUAGGGUACCUACUCUAGCAGGGGGUUAGACUUGAUCUUUUGAGGUCCCUUCCAACCCCUGUGGUUCUGUGACUGUGUUUCUGUAAUACACACAAGCAACACCUACAGUAUAUGUAGCUUGAUGUACAUAGUCUUAUAUGUAAAUGUUUAUAUAACCACGAUUUAAAGUCUGAUCAUAUAAACUAUUUCCACCAGCUUUCUCUCUUGAUCCUGAUGCAAUGCACUGCAGCAUGCGCUGGCUGUCUGUACCAUACCCUUUGGCCUGAUAUCUGUGGCUACAUACCUAUAGCGGCUAUCAAAGAGGGGGUGGGGGAUCCUGCUUUGCCACAGGGACAUGAUUAAGAUCCCCUUAGCACAUUGACCAUGACAUCUGCAGGUCAUGCACCUGUUGCUGGGGGGACUACCAAUCCUCCAACCUCCAAACAUCUCCCCUAGGUGCAAGUAGGCCACACCACAUUGGUCCUACUUGCACUUUCCAAGGCCAUUCUAUUUUAUGGGUACCAGGUUCUAGGUUUUCAGGGGCAGGGAGCAGAAGAUUAUUUUAAUUGCCAGUUUGGGGUCUUACCUGAUUGUCAGUGCCCAUAAUUUGAAUCCUUAGCAGGGAAGCCCAUGUUGCCUGCAGCAUCUUUAGGGCAUUGGGUCUGCCAUCUCUAGGCCUUUCAUUCAGGUUCUGCAGGGCUUCAUAGAGUCUUUGUCCACCCCUGCAGGGACUGAGAGUCUGUCUUCAGGGCAGUCUUCAGAAUACCAUUAUAGCAUUCAAUAAGGCCUGUCCCCACCAGAUUGUAUGGCAGAUGGAAUCACCACUCAAUGUUGUUUUCUUCUGCCCAGCACUGUACCAUUGCACCAGUGAAAUAAGUCAUCAAGAGUGACCAAGGGACUCAAAGUGUUCCGUAGGCAGCCAUCAUCUUGGUAAGCACCUUAAUGGCAUAUCCCUGGUUUGCUUUGGCACUGGAUAGCCCUGCAAUAGCCCAUUUGCUGUGUUGAUGCAGGUCAGGGCAUAUCUUCCAUAUAUCAGGCAUCUUCAGGAAUGGCCUACAAGCCUGGUCUUUACAACUUCUGUGGGUUUAUAGCCCACCCUUUUUUUUUUGUAGAUAGGUAGCCAGUAAGACUGCUGCCUUUCCUAAUGCCUUCAGUGAGUCUGAUGUCAGCAUGAGAUCAUCAAUAUAGUGGUACAGCUUGAUGUUAUUAGAAUUAUUUCAGUCUGCUAGGUCAUGCGCCACUAAGUUACGACAAUAUGUAGGCAAGUGCACAUACCCUUGCGGCAGGAACCAAGAGGUCCACUGCCUGCCUCCCCACAUAAAUGCAAACUGAUCUUGUAAUUCUUUGUGGAUGGGAAGGGAAUACAUUUGCAAAGUCUAGGACACACUAUUUGGUUUCUAACUCCGCACUCAAUGUAUCCACCAGGGAGGCAAUAUUGGGUACAGCUGCAUGAAUGGGCAGUGUGACCUUAUUCAGUUCUACAUAAUCCACUGUCAUUCUCCAUGUGCUGUCUGACUUCCACACUGGCCAUAUGGGGGAAUUGGAUGGGCUAUAUGCAGGUCUUAUGAUCCCUACUUUUUCUAGCUCCUGAACCAUUCUAAGUAUUUCCUUUUGACCCUCUGGGAAUCUAUACUGUUAAGUAUUAGUAAUCUGGCACAGAAUGGGCAAGGGAAUACGUUCAUGUUUCACAUGGCCUCUUAAUAUUGCCUGCACUGCCUGGAAACUAAUACAUCUCUCUCUCUCUCAGUCUGAGCUCUCCUAUAGUCAUCUGGAGAGCCAGACCGCAUAACAUGUCUGUGCCUGUUAUAUACUUCAGAACUGGGGCAAUAGACACCUCACACUCCUGGUGUGGAAGACACCCAACUUUAACCAUGUCUGGGUUACAGGCACGGUCUAUCCCCCAAACCCACCAAUCACCACCUUGGAUUUGGAAUUUGGUUGGAUCACCAUAAAUAAUUGACAUUUCUGCACCCAUAUCAGCUAAUGCCAUAACUCACCCUAUAUUCUUUUGGGACCCAAACACAGUCAGUUUAACAUAGGGGCCCCCAGGCAGGACUGGAGGCCCCAGGUACAGAGGGGCUAGCAUCCCUUUCAUGCAAGUAGCUGAGAAUCGCCAAUUCCUUUUCCUCAGGUGACUCUGGCAUAGAGGCCUGGGUCACUUCAGGAGGCUUUUUGCUUUUAUUAGAAACUAGGAAAUUUUCCAGGUUCCACGUUCUUGUUGUUGUUUUGGUUAUUUUUUAUUUCCCCCUCCAGUAAUUCUCACCCCAGCUUUUUGGGGAUAUUUUGAAACUUCUGCUUCAGGGUCCCAGUAAUCGUCCAGCACAUGAUUUUUUUUAAGGUAAUCCAUGUAAAUAAGUAUCUGGCUGGCUUACCAAGUGCAGUACUGUAAUGCUAUAAUGUGGUAGAAAGCACAGCAAUAAUGGAGAGUGGCACAAUCCUAGGCUACACCAAACAAGAACAAGCCCAAAUGCAGCAGCCAGCCAGGGAUGCAAAAACAAAGGAAGAAAAGCUGCUUACCUUUAGAAGGCCUCCAGGGAGCAGAGAUCUCAAGCAAGAUGCUUUCACCUCCACUGCCAGCCCUUAAAUGAGGCCUGGGAAGAGGAGGAUCCUGACUCCACCCUUCUGGUCACUCAGCUGCAUUGUAUUGCACUGCAUUGCAUUGCAUUGCAUGCACCUGAGAUCCCCUGGGCUGGCCCUGCCUUCCCACCAGGUGCUCAAUCACUGCUUCAGGCCGUUACUUAGCAUUGCCACUACAGGUCCCUCACAUGGAACAUUCCUUUUACUUCCCAGUUAGAAGCACUUGUUUAGGAUUUUUGCUUUUUCCCGGUGACAAAGUGAGUGAUGCUCAGUAGCCACGUUUACAGAGUGCUCAAAUCCCUACCGACAGACUGCUUUUGUCAUGAAAAGCAAAGUUGUCAUGGUGACAGAGCAGCCUGAUGCCUCACUGCACGGAAGUGCCAGCAGGAGGUGGGAGCGGAGGGGCACAUGGGGUCAAUGAGUGCGGUCCCGCAGUCACCCGACCUUUCACAGCAUUAACAGUGCAUCUCUCGGAUAACGGAGGUAACAGGAUGUGCAUAAGAAAAGUGGAAACUUCUUUCAUUCACUGCUGAUGGGAGAAAAGGAGUCAUCUGCGGAGUUAUUUCAACAGAGAGAUAUGUGACCGGCAUCGAGACGAGAGCCAUGACAUUCUUCUGACAAGUAAUAUCGACAGUAAUUGGCUUCAUCCCUCUUUCAGUGGCUCUGUCGUUAAUGAGAUUUGUGAUCUAAUUUUUCAUAUCUCUGUCAGAUCUGUUGGGAAUAAUUUUUCUAACAAACAUUUAUGGACAUAAUAUGUGCGCAUUCAUCGAAUACGUCCCUUACAAUCCAGCCUUCUCCAGGAAGUAUUUCUAUUCUGACAGAUGAGUUUAAUAAAAAUCUCUCCGAGCUGAGCAUUCUGAAACAUAAGAAUUCAAUAAUAAUAAAAACUUAACCUGCUCCUUCUAAAUACAGAGCGAGCAUCCUCACUUGUAGCUCUCAUAAACCCACUCCAUGUGCGCGUGGUGAUGAUACACCCAUCAUUCCCAUUUUAUAAAGGAGGUGAAGGGGCAAAGCGGGUUGCCAGGUUUGCCUGACAGUUCUCUCUUAUGGUUUACUUACAGCUGCUUGCAGAGCGUGCAGGAGACUGCAUAUAAGCCCAGCAUCAGUCCUGCAGGAGUCAGCAGCCAGGCACAGACUGGCUCCUGGUGCUGUCUGAUGGAGAGUGGCUGCUGGGUGGAAGGAGCUGCUGUUCCCUCCUUUGGACCCAGAGUAACUUUUAAAUCAUUCUGGGAAGAAAGGAAUGGCAUAUUUGGUGUCUCAGAUGUUCCUCGAGCAGUACGACCUGCACAGAAGUGACAUAUAGUGGACACAAAACAGCUCCUCAAUUAGGGAGACGUAGGGGCAGAAUCACAUCUCCCCAGCAGAACUCAAGAAGCCCUUCUUAGCACUACCACUGCGCAACCGAAGGUAUUUGAUCUGAAGUAUGAAGAAUGAUUUAAUCAGACAGAUUAACCUACCUGGUGCAUCUGAAACACUUCCAUUCCAUCGAAGUCCAUCAACAACAUAGGCUUUAAGUGGAGUUUUAAAAAGUUUAUGAGAAGAAUAUGGAAGGAAUAAGGAGAGUGACAAUUCAGCACGUUUUAGCUCACGUGCUUCUGCAGCAGAAGGUACAGCACUGGGAAUGGGGGCACUGCUGUGACUGACCCCACCACAGGACCUGGCCACCCCAGAGCAUAUUUUCAAGGACUAAUUUCAAGUGUACACGUUAUAAAUCUGCAAACUAUCUCUGUGAGCCGUGCAUGCUUUACAUCCCUUCAAUCCCAUUGCCUAAUAUUAGUGAAAGUGACAAGACAUUAACUGCAUAUUAAUUGAAUUUUUCACGGAUGAUUAAAAUACAGAAACUGUGCAACAGAUUUCUCCUUUGAGGUGUAAUAAAAGUGAAGGGGAAAUGAAUAAAUUGCCUAUUUUAGAGAUUUUAUAUAUAGUGCAAAUAGACAUUUUCCUUUUAGACAUCUCACCAGGAAGAAAGCAUUUGUUGCAGGGAGCAAGAUGUACUCCUGUCUGAGUGUGACACUCAGCGUGCAGUGACAUGGGCAGACCCCGGUCCCAGGCAGGAGCACAGCCCAUGGGUUUCCAGGGGGCAGGAGCAGGUACUGAGCACAGGAAUCACUGCUCCCAGCAAUGCAGAGUCACUGAAGUCAGGUAACAUCCUCCGUCCUUAAAAAAGAAGUUGUGGAUGCCCCAUCCCUGCAGGCAUUCAAGGCCAGGCUGGAUGUGGCUCUGGGCAGCCUGGUCUGCUGGUUGGUGACCCUGCACAUAGCAGGGGGUUGGAACUGGAUGAGCAUUGUGGUCCUUUUCAACCCA